CGAGAAUUAAGUCGAUAUAAUAAAAGGUUUGUACGUCUGCUUAAUUACUAUUUACUACUAGUAUUUAGAUCUUAAUUACCGCCUAAUGUCAGGUUAUCAAAUCCGUCGCGUGCAAAUGGAUUUUCGUGUAAUUUUUGUGAGAGAAAUGUACAUUGCCGAUUAGAAUAUUUGUACUAGCUGCUGGGAAUUUUUUUUAUGUAAGGAAAAAUAUAGAGAAGUAUAGUAGGAGUGUUAUAUUGACAUAAAACACGUGAUCAUUUAAUUAACUAAUACGCGAUAAACCUAAAAGCGCCUAACAUAGCUAUUUUGUCAGAAUUCAGCAUCAGCUAAUUAGGUAAUUAUUAACUUUACAUUAUCAUAUAAAAAAUUAUCAAGUCACGGAUUUUGCUAGAUUCUGCAAGAUUUAUAGCAGCGGAAAGAAAAGUAUGGGCCACUUGUGUACCAGAUAACAUACAAAAUCAAAUAAAAUCAAGUCAUAUAAAGGUGGUCUAAUAGCCAAUUUUGAGAGGAAAAUGAAGAAUAUAGCACUUAUGUUGACAUUAUUAAUUUUCUUAGUAAUUUCUUCUUUUUCUUCCGGUUUUGUCUAUAAGAAAUUAGGUCAGAUGAUGCUAAAAAAAAGCAUAAUUCAUUGAGUAACCAGUUGCCCUAAUUUUUUGAUGUUCUACUUGCCUUUUAUAUAAUAUUAUUGUAUUGCCGGUCCAUGCUUGAAACCGGGGAAACCUACUAAAAAAUGAAAUUAAUAAUUAUUGUUCUCCAAAAAUAUGUCGUGUCCCUUUCAGAUUCAUAUCCAUUUGAAUAGUUUCACCUCUGAAUGUCUCCACAUCCCAAUUUGCGCUGAUCCUUGCCGACAAGAUUUGUUCAGUGGCGAUCACCUCCAUCUAUACAAACGACGCCAUCAUCACGAUCAAUUAUUUCAUCGCCACCACCGUAUGUUCUUCUCUUCUAUUUACUGUAUCAACAACAAAAUUCAUCUCUUUGAUGCGGUUAUAUGUACUAUCUCCACUGAUAUCGCCAGAUAUACUUAUAUUUUGUCGCCGUGAAUGACCUAAGUUGAUCGGAGAAGAUGAACAGUUUUUUUUAUUUUGUUCUAUU
rnacentral:lncRNA from 1 species